rnacentral:rRNA from 1 species
UGCGUAGGCGGUUUACUAAGUCAGAUGUGAAAGCCCCGGGGCUUAAACCUGGGAACUGCAUUUGAUACUGGUAGGCUAGAGUAUGAUAGAGGGGGUAGAAUUCCUGGUGUAGCGGUGAAAUGCGUAGAUAUCAGGAGGAAUACCAGUGGCGAAGGCGGCCCCCUGGAUCAAUACUGACGCUGAGGUACGAAAGCGUGGGUAGCGAACA